rnacentral:rRNA from 1 species
CCUACGGGAGGCAGCAGUGGGGAAUAUUGCACAAUGGGGGAAACCCUGAUGCAGCGACGCCGCGUGAAGGAAGAAGUAUUUCGGCAUGUAAACUUCUAUCAGCAGGGAAGAAACUGACGGUACCUGACUAAGAAGCACCGGCUAAAUACGUGCCAGCAGCCGCGGUAAUACGUAUGGUGCAAGCGUUAUCCGGAUUUACUGGGUGUAAAGGGAGCGUAGACGGAGAGGCAAGUCUGAAGUGAAAGCCCGGGGCUCAACCCCGGGACUGCUUUGGAAACUGCAGUUCUAGAGUGCCGGAGAGGUAAGCGGAAUUCCUAGUGUAGCGGUGAAAUGCGUAGAUAUUAGGAGGAACACCAGUGGCGAAGGCGGCUUACUGGACAGUAACUGACGUUGAGGCUCGAAAGCGUGGGGAGCAAACAGGAUUAGAUACCCCUGUAGUC